GACGAACGCUGGCGGCGUGCUUAACACAUGCAAGUCGAACGGAAAGGCCCUGCUUUUGUGGGGUGCUCGAGUGGCGAACGGGUGAGUAACACGUGAGUAACCUGCCCUUGACUUUGGGAUAACUUCAGGAAACUGGGGCUAAUACCGGAUAGGAGCUCCUGCUGCAUGGUGGGGGUUGGAAAGUUUCGGCGGUUGGGGAUGGACUCGCGGCUUAUCAGCUUGUUGGUGGGGUAGUGGCUUACCAAGGCUUUGACGGGUAGCCGGCCUGAGAGGGUGACCGGCGACGGAGGGACUGAGAGACGGGCGGGAGAGCGACGGUAGGCAGCAGUGGGGGAGGGUGAGGAAGGGGUGGAAGCCGGAUGCAGCAACGCCGCGGGCGGGAGGGUGGGCUGCGGGGUGGAAACAGCAUGCGCCGGGAAAGAAGGGGGAGGCAGCGGAAUUGGUAAUGAAAAAAACACACACUACGUG
rnacentral:rRNA from 1 species